AUUGAACGCUGGCGGCAGGCCUAACACAUGCAAGUCGAACGAGUGGCGCACGGGUGAGUAAUGUCUGGGAAACUGCCUGAUGGAGGGGGAUAACUACUGGAAACGGUACCUAAUACCGCAUACCUUCGGAUUUUCCCAGAUGGGAUUAGCUAUUAGGUGGGGUAAAGGCUCACCUAGGCGACGAUCCCUAGCUGGUCUGAGAGGAUGACCGGCCACACUGGGACUGAGACACGGUCCAGAAUCCUACGGGAGGAAGCAGUGGGGAAUAUUGCACAAUGGGCGAAAGCCUGAUACAGCAAUGCCGCGUGGAUGAAGAAGGCCUUCGGGUUGUAAAGUACUUUCAGCGGGGAGGCGUUACCCGAAGAAGAAGCACCGGCUAACUCCGUGCCAGCAGCCGCGGUAAUAC
rnacentral:rRNA from 1 species